AGUGAACGCUGGCGGUAGGCCUAACACAUGCAAGUCGAACGACAGCACAGGAGAGCUUGCUCUCUGGGUGGCGAGUGGCGGACGGGUGAGGAAUACAUCGGAAUCUACCUUUUCGUGGGGGAUAACGUAGGGAAACUUACGCUAAUACCGCAUACGACCUACGGGUGAAAGUGGGGGACCGCAAGGCCUCACGCGAUUAGAUGAGCCGAUGUCCGAUUAGCUAGUUGGCGGGGUAAUGGCCCACCAAGGCGACGAUCGGUAGCUGGUCUGAGAGGAUGAUCAGCCACACUGGAACUGAGACACGGUCCAGACUCCUACGGGAGGCAGCAGUGGGGAAUAUUGGACAAUGGGCGCAAGCCUGAUCCAGCCAUACCGCGUGGGUGAAGAAGGCCUUCGGGUUGUAAAGCCCUUUUGUUGGGAAAGAAAUCCUAUCGGUUAAUAACCGGUGGGGAUGACGGUACCCAAAGAAUAAGCACCGGCUAACUUCGUGCCAGCAGCCGCAGUAAGAC
rnacentral:rRNA from 1 species